UAAGGAAUAUUGGUCAAUGGACGCAAGUCUGAACCAGCCAUGCCGCGUGAAGGAUUAAGGUCCUCUGGAUUGUAAAACUUCUUUUUAUCUGGGACGAAAAAAGGCGAUUCUUCGUCACUUGACGGUACCAGAUGAAUAAGCACCGGCUAACUCCGUGCCAGCAGCCGCGGUAAUACGGAGGGUGCAAGCGUUAUCCGGAUUCACUGGGUUUAAAGGGUGCGUAGGCGGGCAGGUAAGUCAGUGGUGAAAAUCCUGGAGCUUAACUCCAGAACUGCCAUUGAUACUAUCUGUCUUGAAUAUUGUGGAGGUAAGCGGAAUAUGUCAUGUAGCGGUGAAAUGCUUAGAUAUGACAUAGAACACCUAUUGCGAAGGCAGCUUACUACGCAUAUAUUGACGCUGAGGCACGAAAGCGUGGGGAUCAAACAGGAUUAGAUACCCUGGUAGUCCACGCCUAAACGAUGGAUACUCGACAUACGCGAUACACUGUGUGUGUCUGAGCG
rnacentral:rRNA from 1 species